rnacentral:rRNA from 1 species
UACAGAGGCCUCGAGCGUUAGGCGGAAUCACUGGGCUUAAAGCGUGUGUAGGCGGACUUCUAAGUACCUUGUGAAAUCCCACAGCUUAACUGUGGAACUGCUUGGUAUACUGGUUGUCUUGAGGUACCUAGGGGCGAGCGGAACAAGUGGUGGAGCGGUGAAAUGCGUAGAUAUCACUUGGAACGCCAACGGUGAAAACAGCUCGCUGGGGUAUCCUGGACG